rnacentral:lncRNA from 1 species
AUUUGGUUACUGCUCAUUUCAGAAUCAUUGAUGGUUUGGAGGUAAGUUUAGACCAAUUUUUCUAUGAUUCCAUAUGGAUUCAAAAUUAAAUUGUUGAAACCAUAUAAUGAAUAAUGAUACAUGUACAAAAUAAACAUAUAAUGAAAACUUUUGUCUGAAGUAUAAAUAAACGUAGGUUAAAAAACUGUCAAAAUAGGUGUAAUUUGGGAACCCUGAUGUUAGUUAAGUAGGUAUUUUUUUUUGGCCAGCAAAAUGAAUUACCUGUAUAGACAAGAAGACAACAUUAGAGCAUUAAAGAAACUUUAUAUCUUGUUAUUUAAGUAUUGUGUAUAACUGAAGUUUUAUCAUGUUGAUUUUAAAUAUGAUAUGUUUUUCUAAGUAACGGAUGAAGGUAUAUAUGAUUAAAAGUGUGAAUGAUUGGUUUUUUGGAGUAAGGGAAUGAAUGAAUUGAUUGCUUGUAUGAUUUAAGGAAUGGAUGGUACAUGUAGUAUGAAUGCAUCUUUUAAAUUGUACUAUGGUUAACUGAUUACAUUAUGUUCCAAAUUGUACUAGGGA